rnacentral:tRNA from 1 species
ACCUUUAUAGUUAAGAAAUAACAAUAAAUUUUCUCUUUAUAAUCCCUUUGUAAAAAAGGUAGAGGUU